GCCGGGCAUGGUGGUGGGUGCCCGUGAUCCCAGCACUUUGGGAGGCUGAGGCUGGAGGAUCGCUUGAGCCCAGGAGCUCAAGGCUGCAGUGAGCUAUGAUUGUGUCACUGCACCUGAGCUUGGGCAACAGAGUGAGACCCUGUCUCUA
ensembl:misc_RNA Metazoa_SRP Metazoan signal recognition particle RNA